CAAAGCUAUAGAACUUCCCACCAGAUGAAAGCUUUAUCUCUUUUUCUUUCUUAGGAGAAGAGAGACAGAAGGAGAGAAGAGGGGCAGGAGGAGAGAAAACACAAGAAAGAGGAUGGAAGAUAAAGAGGAAGGCCAGAGUGAGGCAGGAGAAAGCUGAGCUGGAACCUAACUCCUGUUGAUCUGCUGCAGAGACCCUCUCAUUCCACAAUUGCUCCCGCCAUGCCAAGGAGACAAGCUCAACAUACAAAGAACAAGGAGAGAACAAUGGAAGAUGGCCUAUAAUUCAGAAGCACAUUGGGUGGAGCAUAUUGCACAUGUAGAAGCUUGUCACGGAACCCAAGAAAGCUGGAGGAACCUGGGAAGGCUUCCUGGAAGAAGGGAAAGCUGAGUUCUCUUAUCACCACUCCACCAUUUGUUCAUGUCCUCAUGUACAUAUUCAACAAACAUUUAUUGAGGGCUGAGUGUGGCUUUGUGUAUCCCAGAUAAACUAGUAUCCUGAUCUUAGCCAUGGAUCUCAGCUGCUACUAUCUCAUUCCCCACCAUGGGCAAUAAGAUGCAUACUGGUAGGGAAAAUUCUGGCAAAUUUUGUAAAGUUUAUCCAUAGGCAUAAACACUUUACCCUGUGUUAUGCUCAGAAGAGGAACACACAUUUAUUAAGCACCUACCACAUCUGCAAAUAACUUUACUCCCAAAAACUGAUUUGAUACUUAAGCAGCUUUUGUAAGGUGUGUUUCAUUCCCUAAAACUAAAGUUCAGAGAGGUUAAAAGAUUUAUCCAAGGUCACACAUUCAAGGUGGAGCCAAGAUGCACAACUAAGUCUAUUACUGUUUUUUUCAUACUCCCCCACUUCUCUGUCUCCCUCUUUCUAUUCUCAGCUGCAGACUCUGCCAGCUGCAAACUUCUUUAGUAGUUAUUCCUGAUUACUUCUGCUCCUGGUGAGCUCAUCACCUGAUUAAAGGGCUCCUAGCUUCACCAGACCUUGGAGAUGACAAACAGAUGACCCUGGAGAGGCAGGCUCUCUAGGGCUGUUCCAUUUUGGUCUGGCCCCCAUUCCAGCCGGGGAUAUAGUUCAAACCCUGACUCUGAGUUGAGCCCAAGAAAAUAAGACCAAGAUGAAAGCUUAAGUGCAUCCCCUGAAAGGCUCUUAUCUCCAGGCUAAGCUUGGAAGUGGGGAGACAGAGCACCACAACCCAACUUGGGGAUGUUGUCUCUUGUAGAAACACCUUCCUCAGUAACAGAAGGGUAGCUGCCCCUAUGUCCUAGAGAGCGGGAGUAAGAGAAAGUGGCUCCUUGCCUCUGAGAUUUGCUUAGCUGAUCCUCCCUCACCCCAACCAUAGCUCUUAACAAACCCAGGUACGCAUAAAUAUAAAUACCACCCUAUGUGUAUUUCCUGUGCCCUCCCUUUUCUCUUUCCUGAGGAGUUAUGGAGAGAAAAUAAAUGCCAGAAUUACAGAAAACUAGGUAUAAAUCUACUCACUAGCUUUAUGGCCUUGCAUCUAUUUCCCAUAUAAGCUGGCAGGGUUGGGAUUCUGUCUAGCUCUUUCCAUUUAUCAUGAUGUCCUCUUUUUGGUUCUUUUAGAUUUUGCAUCGGGUUGAUGUAGUGGAUGCUGUAGUCCACUACCCAGAUUCCUUCCCCAACCCACAACAAUGAGGUUCUCAUUCCGGAGCUGCUAGGAGGGAUGCCAGAUAAUAGCACACAGCUGAACUUCUCUUCAGCUAUUGCCCUCAGAUUAAGAAAGCUGCCUUGCUCAAGGUUACACGCCUUUCCUGGGAAACCAGUAUCCAAUGACUGGUUCCUGUAAAAGGAAUGGAGCUGCCUUAAAAGAGCUGCCUUGCUUCAAUUUGGGAAGACUAUGAAGAGCCAUCCCAGCUCUGGAGUUCUCCGUAGGGUUGGGUAAGGACUUGGCGUGACUGUGUUGCAGCCCAACUUCCCCCCCUGCCUGAUCCGGCUUCUCUUACUUUCCUGAAGGUGUUGAUUCUGGCAGUACUUCUGGAAAACCUCCUGUAUGCAGAUUUCCAGGUCCUAAUCUGCUUCCUGGGAACCAGGUCUGCCACAGAUGAUAUUUCAAUUAAUGUUCAUGAUGAGGGAGACAAUUCUUCCUUCUUGUCAAUCCUUUCCCAUGUCUUUCUCCACAGUAUUCCUUUCAUCCAAUUUAACAUCCCUUUAAGGAUUUACCCCUUUCAGGUAGGCUUCCUUCAUGUACUCCUUCCAGGUUCUGGUCACUCUAAUCAUGACUGCCACUCUAAUAGAUGGUAUAUAAGCCUUUUAUUCUUGUCAUUAUGUAUUUUCUCACAUCCUUCCAUUAUCCUGGAAGCUCAUUAUGACUAGGCGAUUUCAAAUUUAAUUUUAAAAUAUUUCCUCUCAGUCAUAUACAGUGAUGGUUGGAGGCACUUAAUCCUGUUGGAAGAACAUGUUUGACAAAUCCCUUGUCAGUGCUUCACCUUCUUCUCACUCAUUUAAUUCAUCCAGCACACACUUACUGGCUGUCCUGUCUGAGCUAAGCAUUGCCUAUGCUAUGGGACACACAAAGAAAUAAUGUUUCCUUCCUACUGUUCAGGGAGUUGUAGUUGAGCAGGAAAGGCUUGUGGUAAAGUGGCUGACCCUGAGGCCAGACUGCCAAGGUUCAAACUUCUCUCUCCCAAUUUCUAGCUCAGUGGCCUGGGACAAGUUAUUUAAGCUCUUUGUGCCUGUUUCCUCACAAGUAAAAUGAGAAUUAUAACAGUAGCCACCUCAUUGGAUUAUUGUGAAGACUAAAGGAGUUAACAUGUAAGGAGUCUGUACCACUGUCUGGUACACAGUAAGCAUUAUUUAAGUCUGCCUUGCCCAAUAUGGUAGACACUAGCCACAUUUGGCUAUUAAGCACUCUAAAUGUAGUUGUGUACCGUUAAGUAUAAAAUAUUAAUAUAUAUGCAGUUUCAAAGACUUAGUAUGAAACAAGGUAGAAUAUUCCAUUAAUUUUUGUAUUGAUUACAUGUUGAAUUAUUUUUGAUAUAUUGGGCUAAUUAUUAAUUUUCCACUUUAAUUCAUGUGGUUGCUAUACAAAUUAAAAUUAUAUAUGUGGCUUGUAUAUUUCUAUUGGACAGUACUGACCUAAGUCUUUGCUAUAAAAAUAAUAACAGGCCGGGAGCAGUUGCUUAUGCUUAUAACCCCAGCACUUUGGGAGGCCAAGGUAGGCAGAUUGCUUGAGCCCACAAGUUCAAAACCAGCUUGGGCAACAUAGCAAAACCCUGUCUCUAAAAAAAUGCAAAAAAUUAGCUGGGUGUGGUGGUGCGCACCUGUCGUCCCAGUUACUCAGGUGGCUGAGGUGGGAGGAUCGCUUGAGCCCAGGAGGCUGCGGUGAACUGUGAUCACGCUACUGCACUUCAGCUUGGAUGACAGAGCAAGAUCCUGUCUCAAAAAAAAAAAAAUAAUGAAAAGCAGAACAUAAGAAAUACCAUCAUAAAGGUAUAUGUACUGCCAGAAAAACUAUUCUAAGAGUGAACAACCAGCAUCGGUAUCACCUGGGAAUUUGUUGGAACUACAGACUGUUGGGUCCCUGUUCCAGAUGGACUGAAUUAGAAACACUGGGGAAAGGCUCAGCAAGCUAUGUGUCCAGGUGAUUCGGAUCUGACCAAAGUGUAAGAGGUACUUCCCUAAGGGAGUACAGAGGGAUCACUAACCAAUUCAGUUAGAGGAGAAGACCAAGUUGUUCAUCACAAUAGUAUUGGAGAAAAGGCAGGGCAGGGAAGGCCACACAGAAAUGGUCCACGCAUGUAGUAAGUUUGACAUAAAAGUAGUUAGGUGGCCUACAGCACAUCUCCAUCCCAUUCUGCUUGGCUCCUUUAGAUGCUGCUUUUUCUGGAAACAACACCCUCUGGCCCGGCUGGGUCCCCUGCCCUCUGCACCUUUUUAAUCUAAAGAGAGCCAAGAACAAAUUGGAUCUAAACUGUGUGCCCUCAAUGAAAAUAAUUUGCAUUUGUAAAGCGUGACCUCAAAAGGUGUGUUUAUUAUUUCCUGUAUUGUGCUAGCACCAGCAGGAUGUGGGGCAGAUGGACAACCCAGGUUCAGAGAGAGUGCAAGAGAGAAGCAGCAAGAGCUCAGGAGCCAGCUUGUGACAAGCGGAUCAGCCUCUAAAUAGAGCUGCUUCCUGAGAGCACCAUAAGCUAGGGGAGGAUUAGAGGUGGCUGCAGAGCUCCUUUCCUAUUAGGAAAAGAUUCUACACUAACUCCAUGAUUUUGCACUUCGUAUUUAUAGCCUUUAUUUUAUUUUGGGCUCCUACCAAAUGAAUGCGUUACAGCUGAUAAAGCCCAAAAUUUGCCCUUGGUCUUCAGUAGGGUCAUAGAGAGGGACAUGAGUCCAAAGAAGCCCCUGCACCAUGGUGUGGGUAUGACACAUUGUGAAUUAAAGGAUUUGGUAGCUCUGGCCACAUUUGUUUCCCUGGGGGAGUAGGAGUGGAGGGCUGGAAAGAAGGGGCUCCAUGGGACAUCAUCACUGUGGAGGAGGCUGCAGGUUCAGAACAAACUCAUCUUUCUACAAAAGCCUUUUUCACCCCACCCACAACCAGUUUCCUUUUUAUUUUCAGCUUGUGUAUUUGCAGGCAUCUUUGCUCAUAACAAUGAUAUCAUCUUCAUGCACAGCGAAUUAUGUUGCGGAACUUUUGGGCCUGCAGCAAAGUUUCUGUUACAGCAUUUCCUGGAAGUAUCCUUGGGUCUGUGACCCUCAUCUCCCCACAGCAGGAAGGGCAAGCAUCACAUCAUCAGUAUUGAAAGGUGCAUCAGGUUUACUGGCAAUAGCACUAAUAAUGCUAAUUAUAGAAGUGAUAGUGAGGUGGGGGGGUGGUGAUAGGAAUGGUCAAAUACAUAUCAUUUAUUUGGUCCUACUUUUUCCAGGUGUUAAGCAGUUUUCUACUAUGCCAGGUUAUAUUUUCCAAACAUGACUGUACCAAAAUAUCUCAUCCCAUAGGUUCUUACAAUGUGAUGUUGCUAUUUACUGAGAAGUGGUGUCUGCAUUCCCUCCUCUUUCAUAUGGCCAGGUUUUUGAGACUAUGCAGAAGUUAUUCCAUGAGUUCCAAGCCCAGGUCAUGAAAGAUAACUUGUAAUAAAUCUGGCUACCCUGAAGCUGCCAUGCUUGAGAGACCACACGAGAUGGAGAGAGAUGCUUAGGAGUCCCAGCUGUCCAAGCCUCCAGCUAUGUGAAUCUUCCCAGCAGCAACUGCCAGACAUGUGGUACACCCAAAAUGACUUUGGGGCUACACUUGGAAUUGGCAAGGUUCCAGAAAACAGAGGGACUAUCAUCAGAGACAGCGCACAAAAAGUGGGAGAAAGGUCACCAGCCUCACUCAUGUUUAGGGCUAUUAUGAAUAAAGCUGCUAUGAACACUUGUUUACAAGUUCUUUGUGAGGACACAUGUUUUCAUUUAUCUUGGGAAAAUACCUAGAGAUGGAACUCUGGGACACAUGGUAAUAAAGUAUAUUGGCAUAAUGCAAGAGUCAAGAUGCAGAAAAUAACUACUGUGUGAUGUCUCUCUCCCAGCUUUAACCCGCCUGAAGGGCAGCACUGAGUUCAACACACUGUCCCACAAUUGUUGCACUCUCACACUGAAGUGAACAGAUUCUUUCUCCGUGCCGUGCAGCUCCCGGCAGAGGAUGAGGGAAGGGUACCAUCGGUGAUUCAGCACUGUGUUUCCUAUCCUCUUCAAUGACUCUUUCAGCGAUAUGAAGGUAAAACCAGGUACUGUGAGUGCUCAUCUUAUUUUUGGUUCUUUUGAAGGUGUUUUUUGGUGUAGAUAGUUAUUAAAUUUGGUGUUCCCGCAUGGGGGAACAAUUGAUAGAGCCUUCUAUUUGAUCAUUUUGCUCUGCUCAUUCUAUAUACCACAUUUUCUUUAUCAAAUCUUAUUUAAUUUUGAUUCCAUAAUUUACUAAAGACUAAAUGUGAUAUGCUAAGUUUUUCACAACAAUUAUAUUUUAUCCCACUUUUUUGUCUUCAAAUAGCUUUUGCUUUUGUAUUUCUGUGCUAUGUUAUAGUACAUUACACAUUCAUUGUGGAUUGCAACUUUUAUAAAACAAUCCUCUAUCCAAAGCAUUUUCCUCUGGAGUUUUAUUUUAACCAAUAUUAAUAGUGCCACUACUACCUUGUUCUGACUUUUGCUUUUUUUGAUUUAAAAAUAUAUUUGUUUUAUUUUUGUCUGAUUUUUCUCUAUCUUUAUUUGUAAAUCUUUUGUGUCAUUUGAGUUAGGUGAAUGGAGCACAUGGCUAUGCUUUGUUUUAAAUGAAAGUCUUUGUCAUCCAGCGGAGGACUUUAAUUCAUUUACAUUUAUUGACAUAAAUGUUGGUAGGUCUUAUUUCUCUCAUCUUGCUUUACAAUUUCUAUUUUACUGCUUGUAUUGCUUUUAUUUUGAUGCUUCCUUAUUUCUUCAUCUUUAAAGUAUAUGUACUGCUAUUUUCCUACCAUAAUUACAUUUCUCUAAUUACAAAUAUGAAACUCUGAAUCUCUUCCUUACCAAUCCUAUGUAAAAUAAGAAAUUUAUCAAGCUGGUGGGCUUGAUAAAGGGCUUACCCAUUCCUGUUUCUAAACAAACAAUUAUGCUUAUUUAAACAAUCUGUUCCAAACAACUACCAGCAAAAAUGUGAACUGUUCUUCAUUAGUCUACUAAUUGAAUUUUCUAACUAUCCUGAUGCCAGGAACACCAUGUAUCAGUUAUGCCUAAAAUGUCAUUUAAAAAUAAAAUUGCUUGAGGACAAAUCAGAAAUUAGCAUCUUUAACUAUUUAACUAUUUAAUUACUUUAAGGGCUCCUGGUCAUAGUUUCCACAUUCUACUUCCUUCUCUGUUACAGACUUGAAAGCGUGUGUCAGAUCCCUUCACUAUAUCUUCAGACCUGCCCCAAGGAGUGAGGAAGGGCAACACCAAGAACUUCUCUCCAAGGACCAUAACCUGCGAACCCCAUCUCACCUCCUCCUGCCAGAUGGACACAGUCAUUGUCCUCCUGGCUGAUCCCAUGUCCAUGUCUUGCUCUGGCUACUUUCAUACACCCAUAAUGACAUUUUCCAUCUACUCAAUUUUUUAAAAGCUCAGCUCGAACCUCACGGAUUUUCCUGACAAUCUGCUUCUCUCAAUGGCCUUAAUUUAAGUGAGGGUUGUCAGUCUUACUGGGUCUCGUUUUUUGUCUUAAAUAAUAACUAUUUAUGGGUAUCAAGUGUCUCCUCAAUUUGGCUAUGAUCCUUCACGGCAGAAAUACUGUCUUAUCUUGUGAUCAUGGAGUCACAAGAUUUCAUGGCUAGGAAUAUUCGUCAAAUUAAUCCUAGAUUGAGGAUCAGGUAGUAUGUGGUCUGAUUCUAACUCAACAACUUGCAGAAACUCACUUCUUUUUUCUUUUUUUUUCCCCAGGAGGAGCUAUCGUAUUAACUGACGAAACUCACUUCAUUUCUUUGGACCUGCAAAAUGAGGAUGGGCUCUAAACCACCUCUAAAGUUAAUAUUCUAUGAUUCCAUGAUAAGGCUAUUUGUCAUUUAUAAAAAAAGGAACUUCCACAUAGCCCAGAGAAAGGAAAUGACUUUUUCAAGUUUACAGAGUCAAUUAAUGGACGAAAUGUAAUUUGAAAUUCAAUCUCCUGAUCCCCAGUCUAUUGGGAGUUCUUUCAGAAUGUCCCUUGACUGUCCCUCAAAGUGCCAGCAUGUAUGAAACCUUGUUAAGGAUGUAUGCUCAAUGAAAAUACACAAAUUGACUUAACAAGAAACUAAACUCUCCAGAAAGAUGCAGUUGACCCAAAACUCUGAAUAUCUUUUAUGUUUAAAACUUUCUUUUUUGAACAAAAUUGUACAGUUACUUCUCUAUUUCAACUCUUAAGCCUUUUAUGCCACGUCAAAGGUUAGCUCUCUUUUCUCUCUGUUAAUAAAGUCUUAUUCUUGACUUUGGAACUGUAUGCCAAGCUAAGGGGUCCUUUAUUGUUUAUUUAUUUUUUGAUUCUCUACUUUUGAUUCACACAUCUUUUCUACAAGAAAGACAAUUUAUAGCAGGGGCAUAUUACUUUCUUUGGGCCUCUGUGUCCUUAUCUAUAGCCAAAAGGUAUGGAAAUAAAUGUUUUCUAAAGGUC